rnacentral:lncRNA from 1 species
AGUCUUCCUGGAGAUGCCAUGGCCACUGAUGCAACACAUUCAAUAAUUUCUUGCUUUGCUGUCAAUAUUUUCCCAGUCACCAUCUUGCUAUCUAAAAAUAUGAAUAGGAUUUAUCUUUUUUUUUUUUUCAUGUUAAAAAAAGUGUUAGAGAAGAAACAACAAGUAAACCAAAGGAAAAGAUAAGUGCUGGGUCUGGAGAGGUAGCUUAGUGAUUUAAGAGUGCAUAUUCGUCUUGCAGAAGACCCACUUCAGUUUCUAGAACCCACAUGGUGGCUCACAACCAUACCUAACUUCAGUUCCAGGAGCUCCAACAUCGUUUUCUUGCCUCUAUGGGACAAGUCAUGCAGGUGGUGCAUGUAUAGACAUACAGACAAACAUGCAAACUUUUUUCAAAACAAAACAGGGAUGGACAUACAGACAAAUGACAGAGUAUUUGCAAACACAAGGCCCUGGGUUUGAUCUUCAGGAUUAGGGAAGGGAUAUGGCUGGGGAAAUGACAAUUAGCUUCCCAAUAUAGAAUAUAGCACCCACGAGAGUAAAAUGGACAAGGAACGUAAGUCAGUAUUGAAGAUACUGAGUAGUGAACAAGAAAAAAAAUACUUAGAGGUGACAAAUAGUUCAUACCAGCCAUAAGCCAGAAAGGGAAGAGACUUCUAGAUAAGCUAAUGUGAGAGGAGAGGUGAUACUAAAAUGUCUUAAGAGUUGUACAUCAGCACAUCUAUCAAAGUAGGAGAGCAAGUGAUACUAUAAAAUGUUUGGAGGAUAAGAAUUGGACAAAGGGAGGUGGGCAGGACAUAGAAAGCAAGAAAGCAUUUGCAAAUUCUCACAGGUUCCAAAUAGGGCAAAUAUAAGCAGUAUAUUUAUGUAUAGUUAUAUAUAUUUUAUAUUUAUAUAAAAGUUUUACUUACAAAGUUUAUGUGUUCAUACACCGUUUUAUAUAUAAUAUUUUUAUAUUUUAAUGUAUUAUAUAUUAUUUUUAUAUAAACAUAAGCAAUAUAUAAAUAAAUAUAAGCAAAUAUAAAUGUAAGUAGAGAAAGAAAAAACAUUUAAAAAGAAAUACUCUGAGUUCCUUACUCAUUUUAAGUCAAGUAAGAAUAUUAAUAAUUCAUCCCAUAAGUAUAAAUGGC